UGCUUGUAGUUUACCUGGAGUAAACUCAAACGUCAGAUGAUUCUUCUGUAAGCGCAACAGAAGACUCUGGAUGUGUGGUGGUGCAUCACCCAGGGCCUUCAUUGAAAUCGCGAUCAGAGUGUGUAUUACGAGGAACAAGAGAACACCGAGAAACAAAAGGAAGAAGAGAAGAAAAAGAAAGAAGAGGAUAUGAAACAGAUGAACAGUUCAUUGUCCUUCAUUGAGCAGAGCAGCUUCAGACUGCAGAAGUUUGUCUUCCUCAUGUGGCGUCACUACAACUACGAGCGAAUGAGACGAGGAGCUGAUUUCUACCUGCUUCAGUCAAACUCCACUUAUGUGAACAUCUGGACUGCUGUUCAGAGUCUCGUCAUCAUCACCGCUGGACACCUGCAGCUCUGCUUCCUCAAGAGGCUCUUCAAGAGCAAACCAGCAGAGGGCGACAAACCCCGCUGUUAACAAACUCUAGACCUGCCACUGUUUCAUCUCUAUUUAUAAUCUGCUCUUGAGAAUUUGAGUCAUACACGGCUGUUUCUUCAACAUCAGACUUUUUUUUCCCUUUUAGUAACAACAAGGUCCCAUUUGAACUUUUUUAAUGCUUUUCAUGCAGAGAUU